UGCAGUCGAGCGGACCGACGGGAGCUUGCUCCCUUAGGUCAGCGGCGGACGGGUGAGUAACACGUGGGUAACCUGCCUGUAAGACUGGGAUAACUCCGGGAAACCGGGGCUAAUACCGGAUGCUUGAUUGAACCGCAUGGUUCAAUCAUAAAAGGUGGCUUUUAGCUACCACUUACAGAUGGACCCGCGGCGCAUUAGCUAGUUGGUGAGGUAACGGCUCACCAAGGCGACGAUGCGUAGCCGACCUGAGAGGGUGAUCGGCCACACUGGGACUGAGACACGGCCCAGACUCCUACGGGAGGCAGCAGUAGGGAAUCUUCCGCAAUGGACGAAAGUCUGACGGAGCAACGCCGCGUGAGUGAUGAAGGUUUUCGGAUCGUAAAACUCUGUUGUUAGGGAAGAACAAGUACCGUUCGAAUAGGGCGGUACCUUGACGGUACCUAACCAGAAAGCCACGGCUAACUACGUGCCAGCAGCCGCGGUAAUACGUAGGUGGCAAGCGUUGUCCGGAAUUAUUGGGCGUAAAGCGCGCGCAGGCGGUUUCUUAAGUCUGAUGUGAAAGCCCCCGGCUCAACCGGGGAGGGUCAUUGGAAACUGGGGAACUUGAGUGCAGAAGAGGAGAGUGGAAUUCCACGUGUAGCGGUGAAAUGCGUAGAGAUGUGGAGGAACACCAGUGGCGAAGGCGACUCUCUGGUCUGUAACUGACGCUGAGGCGCGAAAGCGUGGGGAGCGAACAGGAUUAGAUACCCUGGUAGUCCACGCCGUAAACGAUGAGUGCUAAGUGUUAGAGGGUUUCCGCCCUUUAGUGCUGCAGCAAACGCAUUAAGCACUCCGCCUGGGGAGUACGGUCGCAAGACUGAAACUCAAAGGAAUUGACGGGG
rnacentral:rRNA from 1 species